rnacentral:misc_RNA from 1 species
GGACAAUCGAGAUACAUAGAUUUUUACUCAUCUAUUCAAGAAAUUAUUUUUCAUGUCAAUUAUUAUUUUCAAGGUUGAUAUUUAAUUUUCAACUUAGGUAUAUAUUCAAAUUUCAAAGAUCAAGGAUCAAGGAAAAACUUUCUCUAGUUAUCAUAUUCAAGGAUCAAGGAAAAACUGAAUUGGAAUGAGGGGUUGAAUCGAUGGG